rnacentral:rRNA from 1 species
GACGAACGCUGGCGGCGUGCUUAACACAUGCAAGUCGAACGGAAAGGCCCUGCUUUUGUGGGGUGCUCGAGUGGCGAACGGGUGAGUAACACGUGAGUAACCUGCCCUUGACUUUGGGAUAACUUCAGGAAACUGGGGCUAAUACCGGAUAGGAGCUCCUGCUGCAUGGUGGGGGUUGGAAAGUUUCGGCGGUUGGGGAUGGACUCGCGGCUUAUCAGCUUGUUGGUGGGGUAGUGGCUUACCAAGGCUUUGACGGGUAGCCGGCCUGAGAGGGUGACCGGAGACAUGAGGGCGACGAUACGGGCGAGACGCAGGGGAGAGGGGGGGGGGAGGAAGAUGGCCCAAGGGGGGAGAACAGGGUGCAGCGGCGGGGGGGGGGGGAUGGCGGAGGUGGGGUGGCAAUGCGUUGUGGGAGGGGAGGAAGGGAGAGGGGCAAGAGGGGGAAAAGAAGCACCGGAUAACAAGGUGCCGGGAGAGGCGGUAAGGGCCAGAAGACCAGGGACGAAG